rnacentral:rRNA from 1 species
AGAGUUUGAUCCUGGCUCAGAUUGAACGCUGGCGGUAUGCUUUACACAUGCAAGUCGAACGGCAGCACGGGGCAACCUGGUGGCGAGUGGCGAACGGGUGAGUAACAUAUCGGAACAUAUCCGGAAGUGGGGGAUAACGUAGCGAAAGUUACGCUAAUACCGCAUAUGCCCUGAGGGGGAAAGGGGGGGAUCGCAAGACCUCUCGCCUUCGGAGUGGCCGAUAUCGGAUUAGCUAGAUGGUGAGGUAAAGGCUCACCAUGGCGACGAUCCGUAGCGGGUCUGAGAGGACGACCCGCCACACUGGAACUGAGACACGGUCCAGACUCCUACGGGAGGCAGCAGUGGGGAAUUUUGGACAAUGGGCGCAAGCCUGAUCCAGCCAUACCGCGUGAGUGAAGAAGGCCUUCGGGUUGUAAAGCUCUUUCAGCCGGAAAGAAAUCGCACUUUUUAAUACGGAGUGUGGAUGACGGUACCGGAAGAAGAAGCACCGGCUAACUACGUGCCAGCCGCCGCGGU